UCUCCCUAACAGAUUAAACAAGGUCCCAGUUGUAUACAAAUGAUAUUUUACCAAGCAUAGUUUAUGUUGGAAGUGGUUGUUCUUUUAUUUACGCCCCUCUCCCUAAAGAUAAAACAAGUCCAUGUUGUAUACAAAUAUAUUUUUACCAAAGCAUAUUUAUGUUGAAUGUUUUCCUUUAAUUUUUCCCCGCUCUCCCUAACAGAUUCAAACAAUCCAUGUUGUAUACAAAUGAGUAUUUUACCAAGGCAUAUUUAUGUUGAAAGGUUUUCUUUUAUUUACGCCCCCUCUCCCUAACAGAUAAAACACGUCCAUGUUGCUAUACAAAUGAUAUUUUACCAAGCAUAUUUAUGUUGGAAGUGUUUUCUUUUAGUUUCCCCGUUCUCCCCCCCAUAACAGGAUUAAACAAGUCCAAUGUUGUAUACAAAUGAUGAUGUUUACCAAGGCAUAUUUAUGUUGGGAAGUGUUUUCUUUUAUUUACGCUCCCUUUCCCUAACAGAUUAACAAGUCCAUGUUGGUUAUACAAAUGAUAUUUUACCAAGGCAUAUUUAUGUGGAAGUGUUUUCUUUUUAUUUACGCUCCCUUUCCCUAACAGAUUAAACAAUCCAUUGUUGUAUACAAAUGAUAUUUUACCAAGCAUAUUUAUGUUGGAAGUGUUUUCUUUUAUCUACGCUCCCUCUCCCUUACAGAAUUAAACAAGUCCAUGUUUAUACAAAAUAAUAUUUUACCAAGAUAUUUUAUGUUGAAGUGUUUUCUUUUAUUUACGCCCCUCUCCCUAACAAUUAAAACAAGUCCAUGGUUAUCAAAUGAUAUUGUACCAAGGCAUAUUUAGUUGAAGUGUUUUCUUUUAUUUUCACCAAACGCCAUCUACCUAAACAGAAAUUAAACAAGGAUCCAUGUUGUAUACAAAUGGUAUUACAAAGGCAUAUUGAUGUUGGAAGUUUUCUUUUAGUUAGCCCCCCUCUCACCUAACAGAUUAACAAGAUCCCAUGGAUGUAAUACAAAUGAAUAUAUAUUACCAAGGCUAUUUAUUGUUGGAGUGUUUCUUUAUAUUUACAGCCACCCCUCUCCCUAACAGAUUAAAACAAGUCCAUGUUGUAUACAAAUGAUAUGUUACCAAGACAGUAUUUAUGUUGGAAGUGUUUAUCUAUUUAUGUUACGCUCCCAUCUCAUAACAGAAUUAAACAAGGUCCAUGUUGUAUACAAAUGAUAUUUACCAAGGCAAUUUAUGUGGAAAAGUUUGUCUUUAUAUUUACCCCCUUUCACCUAACAGAUUAAACAAGCAUCCAUGGUAGAUAUACAAAAUGAUAUUUUACCAAUGACACAUAUGUGGAAGUGUUUUCUUUGUUCACCCCUCUCCCUAACAGAUUAAACAUGUCCAUGUUGUAUACAAAUAUCAUUUUACCAAGACAUAUAUAUGUGAGAGUGUUUGCGUUUUAUUUACGCCCCCUCUCCCUUACAGAUUAAAACAAGUCCAUGUUGUAUACAAUGGUAUUUUACCAAGGCAUAUUUAUGUUGAAGUGUUUUCUUUAUUUACGCCCCCUCUCCCCAACAGAUAAAACAAGUCCAUGUUGUAUACAAAUGAUAUUUUACCAAGGCAGAUUUAUGUUGGAAGUGUUUUCUUUUAUUUACGCUCCCUCCCCCUAACAGAUUAAACAAGUCCAUGUUGUAUACAAAUGAUAUUUUACCAAGGCAUAUUUAUGUUGGAAGUGUUUUUUUUUCUUUACGCUCCCUCUCCCUAACAGAUUAAACAAGUCCAUGUUGUAUACAAAUGAUAUUUUACCAAGGCAUAUUUGAUGUUGGAAGUGUUUUCUUUUAUUUACGCCCCAUCUCCUACAGAUAAACAAGUCCAUGUUGUAUACAAAUGAUAUUUACCAAGCAUAUUUAUGUUUGGAAGUGUUUUCUUUUAUUUACGCUCCCUUUCGCCUAACAGAUUAAAACAAGUCCAUGGUUGUAUACAAAUGAUAUUUACCAAGCAUAUUUAUGUUGGAAGUGUUUUUUCUUUUAUCUACGCUCCCUUCGUCCCUUACAUAUUAACAAGUCCGAUGUUUGUAUACAAAUGGAUAUUUUACCAAGGCUAUUUAUGUGGAAGUGGGUUUCUUUUAUUUACGCCCCUCUCCCUAACAGAUUAAACAAUCCAUGCUGUAUACAAAUGAUAUUUUACAAGGCAUAUUUAUGUUGGAAGUGUUUUCUUUUAUUUCCCUUCUCCCUAACAAUUAAUCAAGUCCAUGGUUUACAAAUGAUAUUUUACCAAGAUUAUUAUGUGAAGUGUUUUCUUUAGUUACGCCCCCUCUAACCUAACAGAUUGAACAACGUCCAUGGGUAUACAAUAUAUUUACCAAGGCAGAUUUAUGUUGGAAGUGUUUUCUUUUAUUUACGCUCCCUCCCCCUAACAGAUUAAACAAGUCCAUGUUGUAUACAAAUGAUAUUUUACCAAGGCAUAUUUAUGUUGGAAGUGUUUUUUUUUCUUUACGCUCCCUCUCCCUAACAGAUUAAACAAGUCCAUGUUGUAUACAAAUGAUAUUUUACCAAGCAUUAUUAAUUUAUGUUGGAAAGUGUUUUUAUUUACGCCCCCUUUCCCUAACAAGAUUAAACAAGUCCAUGGUGUAUACAAAUGAUAUUUUACCAAUGCAUACAUAUGUUGAAGUGUUUUCUUUUAGUACGCCCCCCUCUCCCUAACGAUAAACAUGUCCAUGUUGUAUACAAAUGAUAUUUUACCAAGACAUAUUUAUGUUGGAAGUUUUUCUUUUAUUCACGCUUCCCUCUCCUAAACAGAUUAAACAAGUUCGCAUGUUGUAUUACAAAUAUAUUUUACCAAGGCAUAUUAUAUGUGGAAGUGUUUCCUUUUAUUUACGCCCCCUCUUCCCUGAACAGAUAAAACAAGUCAUGUUGUAUUACAAAUGAUUAUUUACCAAGCAUAUUUAGUUGGAAAGUUUUUCUUUUAUUUUCCCCGCUCUCCCCUAACCAGAUUAAACAAGUCCAGUUGUAUACAAAUGAUAUUUUUACCAAGGCAUAUUUAUGUUGGAAGUGUUUGUCUUUUAUCUACGCUCCCUCUCCCUUACAGAUUAAACAAGUUUCAUGUUGUAUACAAUAUAUUUUACCAAGGCAUAUUUAUGUUGGAAGUUUUUCUUAUUAAUUACGCCCCUCUUCCUACAGAUUAAACAAGUCCAUGUGUAUACAGAAUGAUAAUUUUUACAACUUGAAGCAUAUUUAUGUUGGAAGUGUUUUCUUUUAUUUCCCCGCUCUCCCUUAACAGAUUAACAAGUCCAUGCUGUAUACAAAUGAUAUUUACCAAGGCAUAUUUAUGUUGGAAGUGUUUUCUUUUAUUUACGCCCCUGCUC
rnacentral:lncRNA from 1 species